UACGGAGGGUGCAAGCGUUGUUCGGAAUCACUGGGCGUAAAGCGCGUGUAGGCGGCCUCUUAAGUCUGAUGUGAAAGCCCGGGGCUUACCCCCGGAAGGGCAUUGGAAACUGGGAGGCUAGAGUACCGGAGAGGAAGGUGGAAUUCCUGGUGUAGCGGUGAAAUGCGUAGAUAUCAGGAGGAACACCGGUGGCGAAGGCGGCCUUCUGGACGGAUACUGACGCUGAGACGCGAAAGCGUGGGGAGCAAACAGG
rnacentral:rRNA from 1 species